GGAAUUCUUGUUUCAGUCGGAGAAGAGUUCAUGAAUUCAAUAUCAUGAUAAUAAGAUAAUGCUACAUCGUACCCAUGGUUCUGAGAAGCGGUGAAGCUAAUGUUCUGAAGGAGGGAAAGAAAUAUGUUGCUGUGUUCUCAAGACAAAUAUCAAAGAUGUUUCAGUCCUCAGAAUUACAAUGUUCCUGGAAAGCCACUUUCCUGAGAAGAACUGCAACAGAUUUUCAUGAUAUCAAGAAGGCUUUAUGUUCUUGUGAGAAUGUUUGGCUAACAUACUGA
rnacentral:lncRNA from 1 species